rnacentral:rRNA from 1 species
CCUACGGGCGGCAGCAGUGAGGAAUAUUGGUCAAUGGGCGAGAGCCUGAACCAGCCAAGUCGCGUGAGGGAAGACGGUCCUAUGGAUUGUAAACCUCUUUAGGCGGGGAGCAAUACCGGGCACGUGUGCCCGGAGGGAUAGUACCCGAAGAAUAAGCAUCCGCUAACUCCGUGCCAGCAGCCGCGGUAAUACGGAGGAUGUGAGCGUUAUCCGGAUUUAUGGGGUUAAAAGGGUGCGUAGGCGGGUUUUUAAGUCAGCGGUAAAAUGUCCGGGCUCAACCCGGGCCGGCCGUUGAAACUGGGGAUCUUGAGUGGGCGAGAAGUAUGCGGAAUGCGUGGUGUAGCGGUGAAAUGCAUAGAUAUCACGCAGAACUCCGAUUGCGAAGGCAGCAUACCGGCGCCCGACUGACGCUGAGGCACGAAAGCGUGGGGAUCGAACAGGAUUAGAUACCCGGGUAGUC